rnacentral:lncRNA from 1 species
GGAGAAGCUUCUGCGAGAGUGCGAAUCACUUAAGGUGAGUUCUGUCUGAUGGUUCACUCUCUUAUUAAUCAUAUUUCUAAGAAAUUAAAUGGAGUUGAUCUGAUGUCUUUUCAGGGGCAGGUGAGAAUGCUGCUUACGCGGGUGACUGAACUCGAGAAAAGAAACUUACCGGUUUCAAACUCUGGUUAGUGUUUGAACUUACCAGUUAUAAUUCAAAUGGAAAUUAGUUUGUAGUUAGAAAAGAAACUAGGAUUGUGUAACCGUGUAACUUUAGUAGUUGAGAAUAGUUGAAAACAAACUAGGAUUGUGAAACCGUGUGUCUGUUUUAAUGUUUCUGAGCAAAUAACUUGCAAGUUUGUAGAUAGGAAACAACUAGGAUUAUUAAUGCACACCAAACCACCAUUUAAUUGUGCGUAACUGCACUGUUUCCUUUAAGCCUAAAACCCAUUUAAUUGUCGUGAGCUGUUCUGAUAGGACUGUUUUCUACUAGGAUUCAAUAGAGUCAUUAUAG